UUAUUUUUUUUAUGUAAUUCGUGUAUGUACAAUGAAGAAGCAUCCAUCAGGAAUAAUAACAAAGUUAUAGCUUGGUAAUCGAGGACCCAUUGAGGUUAUCGAGGGCAAUGGUGGGGGUGGGGAGGAGAAGGAGGUCUAUGGGUUGAUGAAGAGUUGGGGUGCGUGCCGAACUAGCACUUGCUUGGGUUUUUGGUUAGAGGGUUGAGGAGGUUGAGGGAUGAGGAGGGGGCGAAGAUGGUGGAGAGGGAUCAUGAGGAGCGAGGGAUGCCAAUGGGAAGUUGGGGAAGGUUGAAGAGGGGGAGGAGGAGAUGGGGGUGGUAGCUGUUUGAUGAAAUGCCCAAAUGAAUUCAUUUGAAGAUUUUGCAAUUGAUCUUAGUGUUGAUGAUAUUGAAGCACUUGAUGAUGAAGAUGAUCUUAUAGAGGCGUUGCUU